rnacentral:sRNA from 1 species
AGCGCCACCGGGUCGACCGCCCGGGUGACGGUCAGGUAGUCGCGGAUCGCCACCCCGUGCCGGCCCUC